GAAGGGUGCUCAGAAGUCACCAGUCCAACCUCCUACUGAGAGCAGCAUCACCUCUGAUCUCAGACCAGUUGCUCAGGGUUUUAUCCAGUCAGGUCUGGAUGGAAAGCACAGCUUCCCUAGGGAACUUGCUCCAAUUCUGAUCUGGUAGGGAAAAAUAGUUUAUGGGAUCCAGUAAGAACUUUAAUGACAGAGACACAUUUAUAUUGUUGUGCACUAUUGGGAUAGAUCUGCCACAGGAAUUGGGGAAUUCCACAUUUAUUGUUACCUUUAUGACUGGAUAAUUUUCUGGGAAACAUGUCUUUUAUCAAAGAGAUGUGCAGUCCUGUACGGCUCAGUCUUGGAGCUGGGAUGUGGAAAUCUGUCCUUCCACCUCUUCUCUGAAAAUUUCAUUUGGCAAGAUGGCAACCCCAACCACUGUGAAGAGAGUAUCCUGGAAUGCACAAUAGGAAGCUGCUGGGCAGCUGGGCAUGCCAUGGGCUGUUCUCCCAGAUGCUCCUCUGCCAGUCUUUGAGGGUUCUGGAGAUGCAUCUGCUGUUUCCUACAGAGCCACAGAUGAGGAAAGAAGGCCUAGCUACUUCCCUUCAGCAACUAGGUGUGCUUCUCCUGAAAUCAGAGGGAUCUGCAGAAUCUUAAAAAGGAAAGGUUUCUGGGCCCUCCAUCCUUCUAUGCAACUAUGGUCCACUGAGAAUGGUGGCCUUGGAGGAACUGGUGUUGCACUGAAUAAUCUAUAAUUCCCUGCUUGUGGCUGGAUUUGUUUUUAAAGUUCAUACAGAAAUCAUCUCCAGGAAGCCAGUCCUUAAGCUGAAAACUAGGAAGGAGGAGUCUUGAAAAGGUUCCUGCACCUGCUAUGGCCAACUGGUGAUGGCUCAGCCCUCAGUGUGUGCUGGGAGGGAUGGCCAGUGGCUGCAGUCCAAAGGGGAGUGUCACUGCUGCAUUGCUUUUGAGAUGACCACAACAGUGGGAUUUGGCUCAUAAAGGUUGGUUUGCUUUCAUCCAGUUCAGAGAUAUGAGAGGUGCAUAGGAAUAAGCUGUAGAAAGCUAUAAAAGUACUCUAAAGGAGGUUGAUUUAUU
ensembl:lncRNA